rnacentral:rRNA from 1 species
CCUACGGGAGGCAGCAGUGAGGAAUAUUGGUCAAUGGACGAGAGUCUGAACCAGCCAAGUAGCGUGAAGGAUGACUGCCCUAUGGGUUGUAAACUUCUUUUAUAUGGGAAUAAAAUGUUCCACGUGUGGGAUUAGGUAUGUACCAUAUGAAUAAGGAUCGGCUAACUCCGUGCCAGCAGCCGCGGUAAUACGGAGGUUCCGAGCGUUAUCCGGAUUUAUUGGGUUUAAAGGGAGCGUAGGCUGAUUGUUAAGGCAGUUGUGAACGUAUGCGGCUCAACCAUAAAAUUGCAGUUGAAACUGGCAGUCUAGAGUACAGGAGAGGUGGGCGGAAUUCGUGGUGUAGCGGUGAAAUGCGUAGAUAUCACGAGGAACUCCGGUGGCGAAGGCGGUUCACUGGACUGCAACUGACACUGAGGCUCGAAAGUGUGGGGAUCAAACAGGAUUAGAUACCCUUGUAGUC